CCAGCCUGGGCAACAAGAGCGAAACUCCGUCUCAAACAAAACAAAACAUAUAACACAGAGCAAACUCUAGAAACAUUAUCUCUGAACCUUGGCCAUUAGCAUCUUCUUCCUUUGAAUGUUAAAUGACCACUAACAAACAAACAGAGGCAGUGCUACAGUACGAAUGUCGAAUGUCACCGAGUUGGAACCAUUGUAAGAUACCUCAUGAUCAGGUCAGACUGGAUGUUUGUAAUUUUAGCUCUUAACUCAGAGACAUUUCUCGUUGAUUCCCAGGGCUACUGUGAUGAAGCAGGCUUAAAAGGCUUUUAGUGACACUCCAAACCAAGCUGACACCUCAAACAACUCCAUUUCACCACUAAAGGGCAAAUGUAUAGAUUACUGGUGUCAAUGACCACUCAAUGAGUGCUGCAAACGGGAACAUUUUGUUCAAAUACACACACAAAGAAAAAGCCAUCUUGUCCAAGUACCAACUUAAAAUACCUUACAAAGUUGAAAGUCACAAACAAGUGAUUCUUCUUCUUGGUCACUUUGCAAGCCGGGGACCCCUAGCCAGCAACACCCAACUCGGGCCUCACUCAGCCACAUUGGUGUGCUGAGGUCAGUAAUACAUGGCUUUUUGGCAGAUGAUGUUUUGCUCCAGUUUUCUUUCACUCCUUGGCUAAGGAACUUAAUACUCAAUUUCAACAGCCUGGGUCACUCACUGCCUUUGGAACAUCUCCCGGACAUCUCUCCCUUCCCCUAUACCAAGUUGUCCCUUUAAUAUGUGCCCUGGGGCAUCUAAUACUUUCUAUCUCAGCACUGAUCACUCCAAACUGAAAGUACUAUUUACUUGUCUGUGUCCCCCACAGGACUCUGAAGCUCCGUGAAGGCAAGAACUUUGUUUCCCUGUUGCCUAGCAAAAUGCCUGGCAUACAGCAUUUACUAAACAAACAUUUGCUGAACAGAUGAAUAUAUAAAAAGAACAUGGUCUGGUAGGAAACGUCAGAAUUUCACACUGGGAGAGUGCAGUGGGAGUCAGGAAGGUGAGGGGAAGCAUGCAGACUGCAGGAGGCGGGAGGGCAUGGGCAGGGCAAGGCAGCAUGCAUAUGCCAAAUGAAUGUACUUGGCCAGGAUGGAGAGUGUACUUUGGGCCGGAGAAAGGAGUUGAGUAAAGAGAGUGCAAUUGGUAAAGGGCCAAAAAGGUCAGGAUCAUGCCCACUGACAGAGCAGGCAGUGAGAAGCCAACAGUCUGAAGCAGCAAAUGACAUUCUGGUAACAGCAAUUACAGGAGAUUUCACCAAAGGAGGUGGGUGAGAUCAAACAGACAGAGAACAUUUUUAAGGCCCAUAUAGCAGUCCAGACAGGAGAAACAAAUUAUAAUGUCAUGGCAGGUGAGGAGAUGGAAGCAGCAGAUCCACUUGACGGAUCACCUGCACCCUGGAGAAAAGUUCUGCAUGUACACAUCUUCUCCCCCUAUUAUAACAUCUGUAAAUUUCAUGUUUCUCCUAUAGCCUAGUUAACUCUGUUCCCCAAAGUAGGGGUUUAGGAAAUAUCACUAACUAUGUGAGGUAAUGAAUGAACAACUAAACAAAUGCACAUAAAUGGUAUACGUUACUUCUGAGAGAAGGAAAUAUUCUGCAGAGAGAAGCUGUACAGCCAGAUAAGACAAACAAGAUAGCAAGCGUGGAAAGAAACAGGUGGAGGGCCAGUAAAUUGUCCAGUCUCCCCCUCCUUGCUUCAUGGAACCAACCUCCAACUGAUCCAUGGACUAUUAGUAGCUCAGCCUACCUGCCACCCUAGCCCCCAAAUAUAUUAGGUUUAACUUUUACUGUAGAGCUUCCAGAUCAGAGCAUAGUAUUGCAGAAACAGCAAAACAUUUGGGGAAAUUCAGGGGGAAGAAAUCAUUACAAAAAAACAAAACAAACCUACAUAGCAACUGCCUUAGUUCUUAAAAAUUUGAUUCGGCUGGGCACGGUGGCUCACGCCUAUAAUCCCAGAACUUUGGGAGGCCAAGGAGCAUUCCCCUGACCUUCAAAGGGAAAAGGAUCAUGAAGUACAGGUGUGGGAAUUGUGCCAGCUCUAGGAGACAUUCUCAUAGGCCAAUCACCGCCUUCCAAUCCCAUGGAUAAGAAGGAAUUCCCACAGU
ensembl:lncRNA INTS9-AS1 INTS9 antisense RNA 1